AGCAUGCCUUCAUUUUCAAGUGUCUCUCUGUGAGAUCCAAGAAUGUUCUCUCUAAAGAUGCUAGAGUUUGUGUUUGGUUUCCUUUUUUUUAUUUGUAGCCUCAAAGGUAAUAUUUGUUUAUUUAUAGUCUUCAACAGAUCUAGCAGUCUAAGGAACUGCAAAGCUUUCCUCGUUUUUCUUUUCAUUUUUAUAGUGCCUAACAUGUUCAGAAUGGACCAUGCCAGUACAGCCUAAGGUCAACGGCUCUUUGGGACAGAACGUGAUUCUCCCCUGCGCCUUCACGCACCCAAAACAAAAUACAUACACUGGUGUCAUCCAUGUCAAAUGGAUAAAGGACAUCAAAAAAGAACUCAUCUUUCACUGCACUCUGGACAACGGGACAAAUAGCCAAGACAGUUGCACUAAUCUAAAAUCAUCAGAGAGGUUCUCACUUAAUGGUAACCCCAGGAAAGGAGACCUUUCCUUGCGUAUCAGUAAUUUAAAGUUUACCGAUGCUGCACAGUACAUCUGUAGGGUGGAGCUGGAUUAUAAUCAACUUGGGAACCACACGGAUCUUAAUAUCAACGCUCAGGCAAAAAUCCUCAUCCUGUCCCUGGAUGUAGAUGCCAAAGCUCACGUUGUGACGCUGAAUUGCACUGCCCAAGGGAAUCCGGUUCCAGAAGUGAAAUGGACCUCCUCAUCUGGACUGCUGGAAAAUGGCACAAUCAGAACUGACCUCAGAAGCUACUCCAGCUCAGUCACCAGCUCAGUUCCAUUCUCUGACCAGGACGUGCACACUUGCCAAGCUGUGAACUCACUGGGCCAAGAUCAGAUAACGUUUCCACCAGAUCAUUCAAAUUGUUCUUUUGGUCUGUUAGUAGUGACUUGUUUUCUGGGAUGUUUGCUGUUUCUUUGGCUUGUAGCAUUCGUUGUGAAUGUGAUAAAAAGAAGACGAAGUGUGCAGGGAGUUGUGCAGCAGCAACCGCAUAUAGGUGUACAGAGGGUUGAAACCUUUCAAGCUAAUGAGAGAGUAUAUGCCAAUGUCAGCCCUUGUCCAGUUGGUUGUGAAGCUAGACAAGAUGAAGGGUACUCAAAAGGGGUGUCACUAGAGGGGCGAAAGGUGGGACCGAUUCCUGGGGCCCAGACCCACAAAACCCCCCUUCGAGGCCCUAUCCAACCCCACGUCCCCCCUCCCCCACCACCCACGUCCCCACCACCCAACCAGUGAAAAGUGAAAGACCUCAAAGAAAUAAAACCGAUUUUGAAAGAAGAUAUCAAAUGUAUCUAAAAACAGCAACAAACAACAAAAAGCUCUGGCCUUUAACUAGUAUAUAUGAAUAAAGGUGCAGUUUAAAAUAAAACUUUUGUUUUGUUUUUUCUUUUCUUUCUUUUUGUGUGUGUGUGUGUGUGUGUGUGUGUGAUGCAGCUGUUGAAAAUAAGUAGCUAUUACAGGUUUUAUUGCAACAUUCGAGCUAUCUGAGGCUUUACAAAAAUGUAACAUAGUAACCUUUUUAUUCUCUUGAACUACCAAAUAACCACAGUUUGAAAGGAAAAUCCCCAUAAGUAUAUGUAGUCUACACAACGUGUGUGUGUGUGUGUGUGCGUUCAGUUUGUGCAGGGGCUGUGUGACAAAACCGUUUUUCGACAGCACGUUUGCUUGUGGUAGGAAAUACUAUAUUCAGGAGAAAACUAAACACUAAAUAUGGCCACACAUUUUAAUAAAUGCAUGGUGUCACACCCAUAGAAAUAGAAUUGGUGGGUAGAAAGUUCAGUCCCAUAAAUCAGAAAAUUAAAAUGGGCAGGGCUUAGUGAUGCAGAAGUUGUCUUUUUAUUCAGGUACGAAGGUGAGUAAUAAUUGUUUUAUUUGAACUCUUUACGUGUAUAUCCAAUUCACUCACUAUUAUACUUAAAUGUGUAAAUUAUUAUCUAGAUCGCUGCAGAAGUAGCGCGUUAACGGUGUUAUCACGUGGUUUCUGUUACUUUUUAAGGUGCUAAUCAAGCUGGACCAAUCACAGUCAUUUUUGAUUAUGCUUUGAGAAUUUCUAAAAAAUCACUUUAUAUAGAUUUUUAUGGUGUGUUUUGCUUCCUAUGUCAGAUAUAAGUUAUUAUAGUUCAUAUGUUUUAAAGUAUUAUGUUUUUGAGUAUAAAUGUUUCCAGGAUGACGAAAAACGUUCAGAGUUUUAAAUGCAGCUCAGUUGAAGCUUCAGCUUUUGGGCCUUCACGCGCCCCCUAGUGGACGAAGAUAAUUUGAGGGAAACCGCUAGUAGUAACGAGUAUUGGCAAUGCCUGUGGUGGUCACACCCUGCUGAAGUUUGCACGCUUUUCCUGCCUCAGCCAUUGGUCCCAUAUAAGCAGCUUUAAAUAAAUAUUAUCUUAGACUAUUUGUAAAGUUCCUCAUAUAUUAGAUAGAUAUACCAGAAUGCCUCCCACUGCCGUUACUACAACCACAACAACAACAAGAACAUCCACCGGGGAUGGAGGAUGUUGCAGCAUUGCUUAUGUGCGUUCAUUUCAAGGAUUACUGAAAAUCGGCCAAGUGGAGUUUUUACAUUAUGUUGUUGGAGGAAUCUUGAUCUUAAUUGCCUCUAUAGUUGUAUCUGUGCUGAGUCAUGGGGUCUCAUCACCUUUAGUCGCUGGAUCUGUGUUUGGCUAUAUGGCUACUUUUCUUAUUGCAAUCAGCAUAUGGACUUCUUAUAAGGUCACAUGUGGCUCUCAACCAACUGGUGCCACAGUGUAACCAGAAGGAAGAAACUGUCCGGUUCUGAAAGAAAGAAUUUGAAAUUCUGAAGAAAAAUUUGCUCUAGAUGGAUGAUAAGUGCUUUGAGAACCUGGAAGUGUCAUUUUUUAAAUGUUUUGGAAGAUGCCGAAUGCUUCAUAUUUCUAAUGCAUCCAAACUUCAGAGCCUGUGAACAUAAUGCGCAACAGCUGGGAUCAACUUUUUCAGCAGUAGGAAUUAAUUAUUUUAAGAGUGGAGUUUUGAUAUGUUUAUCAACCAUGUCUGAAACUCAAAGAGGCCAUUUAUGCACAAGAAUAUUUACGUGAUUUAUUUGACAGUAUUUCAUGUGAUGCAGAUUUGAUUCAGUGCCUGCAAUCAAAGAAUAUUUUGGCUGAAGUGAGAUGUUCAUUAAGGAUUGAUGCUGACCAACAGUAUUUUUCUUUUUCUUUUCAUUAUUACAAGAACUGUAAUGUAUAUUUACUUUCACAGUAUCUCUGUAUAUGAUAUUGUGAUAUGCAACACAACUGUCAAGUUUCUAAAUACAAGUCUCUUUGUUUUGUACACUGUGAUAAAAGGAAAAAGUCUCCUA